rnacentral:misc_RNA from 1 species
UGGUUCUCGCAUCGAUGAAGAACGCAGCGAAAUGCGAUAAGUAGUGUGAAUUGCAGAAUUCAGUGAAUCAUCGAAUCUUUGAACGCACAUUGCGCCUUCUGGUAUUCCGGAAGGCAUGCCUGUCCGAGCGUCAUAAAACCAUACUUAAACCCUCAAGUUUCGGCUUGGUAGUGAGGUUUGCUUCUGAGGGAUGAAAGACAAGACUGUGUAAUAUUCAGUGUAGUCCUUUUUUCUCCCUUUAAAUUUUCUGGCAGAUUAAAUUUACUCUGAAGGAAGGGGGAAGUGUAGUAGUAGAAAUUAUUUCUUCACCAAACCUUUUAAUAGAUACAAAUUCUAGCCAAAAAAAUUCUUUUUUUUAUUCUUUUUGACCUCGGAUCAGGUAGGGAUACCCGCUGA